UACGGAAGAUGCGAGCGUUAUCCGGAUUUAUUGGGUUUAAAGGGAGCGUAGGCGGGAGUGCAAGUCUGCGGUUAAAUGUCCGUGCUCAACAUGGGCAUGCCGUGGAAACUGUUCUUCUUGAAUGUACCCAAGGCAGGUGGAAUUCGUGGUGUAGCGGUGAAAUGCUUAGAUAUCACGAAGAACUCCGAUUGCGAAGGCAGCCUGCUGGAGUAUGAUUGACGCUGAGGCUCGAAAGUGCGGGAAUCAAACAGG
rnacentral:rRNA from 1 species